rnacentral:rRNA from 1 species
AGAGUUUGAUCCUGGCUCAGGACGAACGCUGGCGGCACGCUUAACACAUGCAAGUCGAACGAGAGAAGAGGAGCUUGCUUUUCUGAUCUAGUGGCGGACGGGUGAGUAACACGUGAGCAAUCUGCCUUUCAGAGGGGGAUACCGAUUGGAAACGAUCGUUAAUACCGCAUAACAUAAUAGAACCGCAUGAUUUGAUUAUCAAAGAUUUAUCGCUGAAAGAUGAGCUCGCGUCUGAUUAGCUAGUUGGUAAGGUAACGGCUUACCAAGGCGACGAUCAGUAGCCGGACUGAGAGGUUGAUCGGCCACAUUGGGACUGAGACACGGCCCAGACUCCUACGGGAGGCAGCAGUGGGGAAUAUUGCACAAUGGAGGAAACUCUGAUGCAGCGAUGCCGCGUGAGGGAAGAAGGUUUUAGGAUUGUAAACCUCUGUCUUCAGGGACGAAAAAGGACGGUACCUGAGGAGGAAGCUCCGGCUAACUACGUGCCAGCAGCCGCGGUAAUACGUAGGGAGCGAGCGUUGUCCGGAAUUACUGGGUGUAAAGGGAGCGUAGGCGGGAUCGCAAGUCAGAUGUGAAAACUAUGGGCUUAACCCAUAAACUGCAUUUGAAACUGUGGUUCUUGAGUGAAGUAGAGGUAAGCGGAAUUCCUAGUGUAGCGGUGAAAUGCGUAGAUAUUAGGAGGAACAUCAGUGGCGAAGGCGGCUUACUGGGCUUUAACUGACGCUGAGGCUCGAAAGCGUGGGGAGCAAACAGGAUUAGAUACCCUGGUAGUCCACGCCGUAAACGAUGAUUACUAGGUGUGGGGGGACUGACCCCUUCCGUGCCGCAGCAAACGCAAUAAGUAAUCCACCUGGGGAGUACGACCGCAAGGUUGAAACUCAAAGGAAUUGACGGGGGCCCGCACAAGCAGUGGAGUAUGUGGAUUAAUUCGAAGCAACGCGAAGAACCUUACCAGGUCUUUACAUCGUAUGCAUAGCUCAGAGAUGAGUGAAAUCUCUUCGGAGACAUAUAGACAGGUGGUGCAUGGUUGUCGUCAGCUCGUGUCGUGAGAUGUUGGGUUAAGUCCCGCAACGAGCGCAACCCUUACUGUUAGUUGCUACGCAAGAGCACUCUAGCAGGACUGCCGUUGACAAAACGGAGGAAGGUGGGGAUGACGUCAAAUCAUCAUGCCCCUUAUGACCUGUGCCUCACACGUACUACAAUGGCUGUCAACAGAGGGAAGCAAAGCCGCGAGGUGGAGCGAACCCCUAAAAGCAGUCUUAGUUCGGAUUGUAGGCUGCAACCCGCCUACAUGAAGUCGGAAUUGCUAGUAAUCGCAGAUCAGCAUGCUGCGGUGAAUACGUUCCCGGGCCUUGUACACACCGCCCGUCACGCCAUGGGAGUCGGUAACACCCGAAGCCUGUAGUCUAACCGCAAGGAGGACGCAGUCGAAGGUGGGAUUGAUGACUGGGGUGAAGUCGUAACAAGGUA